rnacentral:misc_RNA from 1 species
GAUGAAGAACGUAGCAAAAUGCGAUAAGUAGUGUGAAUUGCAGAAUUCAGUGAAUCAUCGAAUCUUUGAACGCACAUUGCGCCCCUUGGUAUUCCAUGGGGCAUGCCUGUUCGAGCGUCAUUGACACCCUCAAGCUCUGCUUGGUGUUGGGCCGUUGUCGUUUCCUCGCCCCCCCGGCGCCACAGCGACACCCCUCAAAGUCAUUGGCGGCUUUCCUGCCCAGCUUUCCCGCGCAGCAGUUCGCGCUUCGGAGACCACUUGGCAGGUUGGCAUCCAUCAAGCUGACCCCUCACGCUUGACCUCGGAUCAGGUAGGGACUACCCGCUGAACUUAAGCAUAUCAAUAAGCGGAGGA